CAGCCAGUUGAAUAAGUCCUUAAAUGUGAUAGGGAAGCAUCCAACGGGAAAGUGUGUUAUCUAUUUUAAGAGCAACGGGGCUGGCAGGUAGGAUUUAGUUUCUCCCUGUCUCUGGCCCACACUCCAGUACAGUAGGUGGCGGUAAUGCACCAUAACGUUGGAUGCCAACCGCCGAUACAAAUUGAAAGAAGAAAAAACAUGGCGGACAGCCACUAGCUCAAUCCACAAAUAUUUCAAAGCAAGCAUGCUGUGUUGACGGAGCUAGCUAUCUGUUGUUCGAGCAUGCCCAUGUUAUUAGCUUGGAGUCUGGGUCCUCUUGUUUUGUCAAUACCCCAACAGGGGUGAGUUUUCUAAUUCUCCCAGAGCUGCUGUGUCAACAGUGAUCCCUGAGUGUGUUUGGGUGGGUGACUGAGGUCUGCUGACAGCUGGGGCCACCUCUUUGUUGUACCCUGUCAUCUGCCUCCAACGCCAACCCCCUGCCUGGCCGACAGAAGGGGAGAGCGUUAAGCGCGAAUCUGUGGGGAAGUCAACCUGAGCAUCCACAAAUGAAGUUAGUCAUUUCCAAAUGAAACACGGUCUAUAUGUUGGAGUUCAUGCUUUUUGAA
rnacentral:lncRNA from 8 species